rnacentral:rRNA from 1 species
GUGCGGCCGCCGCGGUAAUACGGAGGGUGCAAGCGUUGUCCGGAAUCACUGGGCGUAAAGGGUGCGCAGGCGGGGCAGCAAGUCGGAGGUGAAAUCCCACGGCUCAACCGUGGAAGUGCCUUCGAAACUGCUGCUCUUGAGUCCCGGAGAGGCUGCCGGAAUUCGUGGUGUAGCGGUGAAAUGCGUAGAUAUCACGAGGAACGCCAGAGGCGAAAGCGGGCAGCUGGACGGGUACUGACGCUCAGGCACGAAAGCGUGGGGAGCAAACAGGAUUAGAAACCCCAGUAGUCC